AUGCUCGCUUCAGCAGCACAUACACUUCAAUUGGAACAAAACAGAGAUUACCAUGUCCCUAUGCAAGGGUGAUACAUAAAUUCAUGAAGUGUUGCAAUUUUUU